UACGUAGGGUGCAAGCGUUGUCCGGAAUUACUGGGCGUAAAGCGUGUGUAGGCGGCUACGCAAGUCGGAUGUGAAAGCCCCGGGCUCAACCCGGGAAGUGCACCCGAAACUGCGUGGCUCGAGUACCGGAGAGGUUGGUGGAAUUCUCGGUGUAGAGGUGAAAUUCGUAGAUAUCGAGAGGAACACCGGUGGCGAAGGCGGCCAACUGGACAAGUACUGACGCUGAGACACGAAAGCGUGGGGAGCAAACAGG
rnacentral:rRNA from 1 species